rnacentral:rRNA from 1 species
ACGCUCGACACCUACGAGAGGCAGCAGUGAGGGAUAUUGGUCAAUGGGGGAAACCCUGAACCAGCAACGCCGCGUGAGGGAUGACGGUCUUCGGAUUGUAAACCUCUGUCCUCUGUGAAGAUAAUGACGGUAGCAGAGGAGGAAGCUCCGGCUAACUACGUGCCAACAGCCGCGGUAAUCUGAGCGGGCUGGCAAGGC